AUUGAACGCUGGCGGCAGGCCUAACACAUGCAAGUCGAACGAGUGGCGGACGGGUGAGUAAUGUCUGGGAAACUGCCCGAUGGAGGGGGAUAACUACUGGAAACGGUAGCUAAUACCGCAUACCAUCGGAUGUGCCCAGAUGGGAUUAGCUAGUAGGUGGGGUAACGGCUCACCUAGGCGACGAUCCCUAGCUGGUCUGAGAGGAUGACCAGCAACACUGGAACUAGGACACGGUCCAGACUCCUACGGGAGGCAGCAGUGGGAAAUAUUGGACAAGGGGCGCAAGCCUGAUGGAGCCCUGCCGCGAGUAUGAAGAAGGCCUUCGGGUUUUAAAGUACUUUCAGCGAGGAGGCGUUACCCGCAUAAGAAGCACCGGCUAACUCCGUGCCAGCAGCCGCGGUAAUAC
rnacentral:rRNA from 1 species